GCCACUUCGGCCCCCUCUGAUCACGUGAUUUUCCCGGGCCAUGCCCUUAGUAACAGAUAGACUCUGGCUUGUAGUGAGCUGAAUUCAGCACCUCAUCGUGAAUAUUUCAAGCUCAUACUCAUUUCGGAAAUCCGUACGACAAAAUGGCAUACGGAAAGGUUGAACUGUAGUAGCCUUUACUGGCCUACGUCGUCAGCGCUGAGAGCAACCGUCGCCUCCUCCUUGCAGAUAUUUGACACCCCAAUAUUCGGCAGUGAUGUCAGUGGCGACGAAAUAGGAAACCACAGCGUCCUGUUUACCACCGCCAUGAAAGGGAAAGCAAGAGCCAGGAACAUUGUGUGUGUGUCUCUCUCUCUCGAUCGACGGUCUGCGCUUUAACCUCAAAUCCAUUGUUUUAUUUCAAAUUGAGUGUGUAGGUUUACAGAAUAAACACAACAAAAAUA